rnacentral:rRNA from 1 species
GCCUAACACAUGCAAGUCGAGGGGUAACAGGGGCUUCGGCCCGCUGACGACCGGCGCACGGGUGAGUAACGCGUAUGCAACCUGCCUGUAACAGCGGGAUAGCUCCCUGAAAGGGGAAUUAACACCGCAUAAGACCACGCUCUCGCAUGGGGACGGGGUAAAAUAUUUAUAGGUUACAGAUGGGCAUGCGUGACAUUAGUUAGUUGGUGAGGUAACGGCUCACCAAGACUGCGAUGUCUAGGGGUUUUGAGAGGAAGGCCCCCCACACUGGGACUGAGACACGGCCCAGACUCCUACGGGAGGCAGCAGUGAGGAAUAUUGGACAAUGGAUGGAAAUCUGAUCCAGCCAUGCCGCGUGCAGGAAGACGGCCUUAUGGGUUGUAAACUGCUUUUAUACGGGAGCAAUAAGGGUUACGAGUAAUCCGAUGAGAGUACUGUAUGAAUAAGGAUCGGCUAACUCCGUGCCAGCAGCCGCGGUAAUACGGAGGAUCCGAGCGUUAUCCGGAAUUAUUGGGUUUAAAGGGUGCGUAGGCGGCCAUUUAAGUCAGCGGUGAAAUUUUGCAGCUUAACUGUAACAGUGCCGUUGAUACUGUUUGGCUAGGAUUUGGUUGUAGUGUGCGGAAUGUGUGGUGUAGCGGUGAAAUGCUUAGAUAUCACACAGAACACCGAUUGCGAAGGCAGCACACUAAGUCAUUAUUGACGCUGAGGCACGAAAGUGUGGGGAUCAAACAGGAUUAGAUACCCUGGUAGUCCACACUGUAAACGAUGAUAACUCGCUGUCGGCGAUACACAGUCGGUGGCCAAGCGAAAGCAUUAAGUUAUCCACCUGGGGAGUACGACCGCAAGGUUGAAACUCAAAGGAAUUGACGGGGGCCCGCACAAGCGGAGGAACAUGUGGUUUAAUUCGAUGAUACGCGAGGAACCUUACCCGGGCUCGAACGGUGCAUGAAUAUACGAGAGAUUGUAUAGUCCUUCGGGACAUGUAUCGAGGUGCUGCAUGGUUGUCGUCAGCUCGUGCCGUGAGGUGUCGGCUUAAGUGCCAUAACGAGCGCAACCCUUGUCAUUAGUUGCCUUCAGGUCAAGCUGGGGACUUUAAUGAGACUGCCACCGUAAGGUGUGAGGAAGGGGGGGAUGACGUCAAAUCAGCACGGCCCUUAUGUCCGGGGCGACACACGUGUUACAAUGGGAGGUACAGAGGGCAGCUAUCCGGUGACGGAAUGCUAAUCUCCAAAACCUUUCUCAGUUCGGAUUGGAGUCUGCAACUCGACUCCAUGAAGGUGGAUUCGCUAGUAAUCGCGCAUCAGCCAUGGCGCGGUGAAUACGUUCCCGGGCCUUGUACUCACCGCCCGUCAAG